rnacentral:lncRNA from 1 species
GUUGAAAUGAGAUUCUUCCAUCUUUACCAGAACUCUGCACGCAACCCUUCCAAUUGCUCUAUAACUAUCCCACAUGGGCUGGAGCUUCAACCCUGUACCACAGCACGUUCCCACUGCAGGGCCUUCAUCAUCCCAGCUUCCACAAACGGGCCAGAGAUGGGACCUUCUUCCUAUUCACCAGUCCCUCUCACUCUCCCUCCUCUUGCAUUGCUCCUCCUUCCAGGGCCGUCUCUGCAAACAAACCGCCAGGGUUACGGGGCUGCUCGGAGGCCCCCAUGACGCGGGCCGCCCCUCGCUUGCAGCCCCCCGGGGACGGGCCAUGGGCGGCGCGGGGCUCCCCGCGGGCACCGGCCGGGAUCGGAGAGGCCCGCACCCACCUCCCCCCGCAGGGCCCCGCCACCGGGACGGACGGACGGACGGGCGAGCGGACAGACAGGCGGCCCACCGCCGUUUCCGCUUCCGGAGCGCCUCGACGCCGGAAGUGCCGCUUCCCCGGGCCCCCCCGGCCCCGCACCCGCCGCAUUACCGAGCACCACCCCCCAGCGGCGACCCCAACCCCGACUCCGGCGGCGGCCUCCUCACCGGAAAGAGGAACGGCGAGGCGCUUCCGGAUCAAGAGGCGGAGCGCGACUCAGCUCUUCCGGGGCGCCGAGCGGAGCGGAACGGCGUCAUCGACGGCUUCUCUUGAAAAAGAGGCGGAGCGGCGGCAGCCGCCGGUCCGGGACGGCUUCCCGGCGGCGGGAGCGCGGUGGCCGGGCGGGCGGGCCGGAAGCAGGGGCAGAGGUGGGCGCGCGCCUACCGGAAGCGCGGGUGCUGGCGAGCGGAGAGCCCGGGUUGCGGGGAAGGCGGAAGUAGCUGUGGCGGCGCGCGGCUCUCCCCAGCCCGGCGUUGAGACCGCUUCCGGCCCAGGAGGCCUCCCUGGCGUGACGUGCGCCGUGCGGGAGCGCGGCCCUCCUGAAUAUUCAUAAAAAUAUGAAUAUUCAUGAACGGUCCCGCCCCUCCGCCGGGCUCCCGUCCACACUCCCUCUCCUAGCUAAGUCCGGGCCAGCCGCCGGCGGCUGGCGCCGGGCGCCUCCCGCACGGCUCGGGUCAGCCCGCCGUCCCCUGCCCCGCGCCGCGCCGGCCGACCUGGCGUGCUGGGCCGGGCGCAAGAGCCUGCCCUUCGCGGGUGGCCGGGUCAGAGGCCGCCUGUCGCCGUGUGGGCCGGGCCCCGCAGUUGCGCCGGCACUGGCGCGGCGCCGGGCUCGUGGCGCUGACACGCUGGCACCCAGCCCGCCUUGCAGCGCGGCGGUUUUCUGCCAGCUUUGCAAAUCGGAGCGCCUCAGCCACAUCAGUGCUGUAGCGGACAGAAGGGCAAGGCCAGGCUUAAGGGAGGCGGGCUAACCCCCUUUCUGCAGUUGCACGCAGCAUAACCGCACCUAUAGGCUUUUUUUUUCUUUUAAUUAUUCUUUUUGUAACCAUUCACAACUUGACCCCGGGGGAUGGCAGCUCAGUUUCACGAUGUGGUUUCUCAGGUUAGGCCCAUCUAAGUUGCUCAUGUCGCUGUGCAGUGUGCUUGGCUGCACACAAGGCAGUAGCACAUCCUUCAGGCCGUGGUGAUGGCACGGGAUGAGGCAUGAGGCUGUUCCUGGACAAUGCGGUGCACCUUGAAUUGGAGAAACCCCACACAAUCAUGAAACCAAGCUGGCUAUUGCAGCCCUGCCCUGCCCUGCCCUAAACUCUUGUAAUUCAGGUGCUGAGAGAGUUUUGGAUAUAAUCUUACUUCAUUCCACCAUGUGCAGCAGGACUAACUUUGGCACUGGAGCCUCUUUCCAGGUUACAUUAGGUUCCCUUCUCACUUAUGCUACUGCUCGCCAGGCAUUUGGCUGAGCUGUUUUAGUGCUCUGACUUAAGAAAAAAAACUUUUUAAUUGUUGUAUGAGGUUUGUGCCAGCUUGGCGUGCUGAAACAGCUUUCAAGGGCCAGCAUGAGUAAGAGGGUGGGACCGGGGAGCACACGGCUGUAGCAGCCGGCAUUUAGGUUGGCUAGGGUGAUCAUGAAACCGCAACAUCCGGAGUGCUGGCUAAAAGGAAAUCUCCUGGCGGCUGAGAGGUAGCGCCUGCCUCUCCCACAAAGGUGCUGGGACAGUGGUCAUCCCAGGCAAUGCAAAAGUUCCUCCUGCGAGGAGCCAGGAUUAGCUCUGUUCUUAGCAGCAGUCACAUGAAGGCAAUUGUUGAUUUAUUUAAAUAAAAGGAGUUGGCAGACUAAUCAGUUUGGAAAUUAAUUUCCUUGUUAAUUUGGGGGUUUUGACUUGCUCAUGAAUAUUCACAGGCGCUCAUCUCUUUUAUUUUUUUUUCCUCUAUGUAAUUUACUUUUGUGAUUGUCAGAUCACCUCUGAAGGUGACAUUUCUCACUCUGCAACGCAGCAAAUUAAUACAAUCUUAUGUCUCAGAAGAGGAACUCUGGCCUGACGCUGGUGUCUCUCGUGCCUCUCCUUUGCCCCAAAGCCCCUUGUAGCCUCUCUGCUCUCCUCCUUCCCUUCUUAAUGCUGCCUAGAAAGAAAUUAACCUGAGGGUCUCAGAGAAAAGGCUGGCCUUGCCUGGGUAGCUGGGAGAGCUAGUCAAGAUGUCCUACACCAGACGAGGUAAAGCCAUAAUUGCCAUGAGGAGUGGGACAAGGUGGUUAAUUUUCCCUUCCUGUGCAUGGAGUUUCAGGCUUCCCUCCCCCAGCACUGCCAAGAACCUUUCAGCAGCACGUGAAGCAGCGUGACUAACAUCUGUCACAGGCACUUGAUUUCUCUUAUCUCCUUAGGAGACAAAGUAAAAGAAACAGAGGUGUAUUUCUCCGGAGAGCACACCUGAUCUCUUCACCUUCUUUCCCAGCUAUUGGCUGCCCUCUUGUACUUAUCCUGCCUGUCCUUGUUCCUUCUAUGCACCAUAAAAAAGCAUCCUGGCCUCCAUCUCAUGCUUCUCCCUGAUGAGGUGUGCUCAUGUCCCACGUGCUUGUCCUUAGAGCUGCUGGUGUUUCGUAACACCUACCAGGUGGGCUAGCCUGAGGAUGGUGCUGGUUGAAAACCCAGAUGGAACUGCUGCAAGCAGCUCAGUAAGCGCAGUGAAGCCCCCUAGAGCCUGCAUUGAGACGGAUUUGAUACGGCUUCCACCUAUGUAAUGUCUUGUGCUUGGGAGGGCCAGGUGCUAUGCAAGGGGAGAUGGCAGCACCACACCAGCUGCAGGUUCACCUGGCACGAGGCCAGGCUGGUGAGUGGGAGCAGGGCGAUUAAGAGGAGCUGGCAGUUAUGGGGCAGGACAACAAACAAGCAGAGAUGUACAAGAAACUACAGGAGGUAGGCAAGACCCAGAAGAGGGUGGCAGGUGUAGGCUAGGGGGCCUCAGUCCUGGGAGGAAGCACACAGCAGAGCUGAGCACCCCCCUUCCUCUGAGGGACCAGCUCAUAGAAUCAUAGUAUGGGUUGGAAGGGACCACCAACCUGCAGAUCUGGUACUAGUCCAGGUUGCCCAGGACCCCAUCCAACCUGGUCUUGAACACCUCCAGGGACAGAAAAUCCACAGCUUCUUUGGGCAGCCUGUUCCAGCAGCUCACCACUCUCUCUGUGAAGGACUUCUCCCUGAUAUCCAAUCUGAACCUUCCCUCCAAGAGCUCAUGACAAACUCAGAAAAGAAACUAUGUGGAGAAAGGCACCUGAGAUAAAAGCUGCCACAGAAGUUGCUCUCUCCCAACCUUUUUAACAAGCUUUUCAACUCAGCUUUGACCCAGGAGAGAGGCAAACACAACUCUACACUGCCUGCCUGCUCCAUCUCCCAUUACCCCCUCCUGUUACAUCUGUUUGUCACAUUCCCAUCUCAGCUCUUCUUUUUUUCCUUCUCUGAUGUCUUCAGCCCCCUCCUUUCUCACCACUCUCACACAAGAAACAUCUACCUCUGGACCUUCCACAGUCACUGCAGACCACCUGCGUGUGGCACCAGUGUAUGCUCUGUGUUUGUCUUCUGCCUGCAUAUUAACUGUGCUGGUCAUGGUGGCCACCCCAUCAAUAUAAGUGUUAGGCUGCACAAUGGGGUACUGCUGGGCUGGCAGACCUAGCCUGACGUGUUCUAUAAUUUACCUCUCUUGUUGCUUGAAUUCAUCGAUGGACAAAUGGGCUUGGAAAGAGCCAUGAUGUGGUGACAUCCAUUUUAAGGAUGGAGGCUGCUCGUUCUUGCCCGACUUUUCAUCUGCUUGUGGGACAACAUUAAGUUUAUCCCAAAGCCACUGUUUUGUACUCACAAGCCAGUGAGUACAUUUCUCAGCAAGGCAUGUUGUCCUCACUCUUUCAGAGAGCUGACAUCUCUUUGGCAAUCGGCUGAUUAAUUCCCCUGGCAGCGCACACCAGAGAGCAUUUCAGCACGUCAUUUCUGGCUUUCUUUCCACUGUGUGGAAAUAGAUUGCAUCUUUCCCUGCUUGGUAGGUUCUCUAGUUAGUGUUGUAAGGUUUGAGUAACUGAGUUGUAGCAUUAUCCUGCACAUGCUUGCCCUGAAUCAUGGCACUGCAGCGGCAUCUACUCUUCAGGGGCAAGGAGCAGAAACCACACAUCUGGGAUGUACUUAGGAACCUAAAGCACGCACAGUGGCAAUGUGCUGCAUUUUUUACUGAAGGAAGCAGGUUGCUCUGGAGCUGGUGACACCAGGGUCCCUCGAGCAGGAACACGGUAACUCAGGGCACUCCUGGGAUUCAUCAACCUUAGCCACAGACAGAGUCUGUUUGGCCACUGUGGUAAGGGGAAUUAUUUACCAAACUUCCUGGCCAGUGUGUCAUGAAUACAAGUCCCAUAAUUUGGAAGGAGGAAAAGGAAUCACUGGACACGUCAAGAAAGGCAGAAAGGCUGUGCCUGAGUACCUUCAACACAGGAGAAAAACCACAGUCACAUCAGCAGUGCCUGAGGGGGAUCUCAAUGGUAUGGCCACAGCCAAAGCAUACCAGACAUGCACAGGCAAAACCUGUUCCAGUGUGGUGAUAGCUUCUCUGUGGCAAUACCUUCAAGAGGCUUAAAUCAAAAUUAUUUUUAUUAGAUCACCUACAAAAGUCUCAAGUAUUUUGAAUACGAUCCAAUAGCAAGCUUUUCAAGCAUGACAGAUCCCUGCAACCUAGGCUGCAUUAGCAAAAGUAUAUCCAGCAGAUGAAGGGAAACUAUAAUUCCCAUCCAUGUGAGAUGUGUGAGGCCACAUCUGGAAGGUGUGAGCUGAGGUUGCAAGAUGCAUAUUAACAAACUGCAGCACAUCCUGUUAAAGGGUCCCACAAUAGAGGGCUGAAGCACACAGUGCACAAGGAUUAGGCUGAGGGAGCUGAGAGAAGGCCAAAGGGGCAUCCAGUUGCUGUCUUCCCCUACUUAAGGGAAAGUUGUAGAGAAGAUGGGGCCAGAGUCUGAGGAGGCGGCACAGUGAGAGGACAAGAAACAAAGAAUGCAAGUUGCAACCGGGGAAAUUCUGAACAGAAAACCUCUCACCCUUGAGAGCACUUCAGCAGUGGAACAAGUGCCUACAAAGGCUGCAGAAUCUCCACCCUUGGAGAUAUUCAAAAUACGGGCAGAAAAGCCCUGAGCAGCCCGAUCUGGCUUUACAGUUGUCCCACUGUGAGCAGGGGAUUGGACUGUAUGCUUCUGGAAACUCCUUCCUGCUUGAAUUUUUGUGUGAGUUUGUGAUUUGAUCUGUACUGCUGAUCUGCUGUGAGCAAACGUUCAGUGUCUUCAUAAUGCUACAAGCCAGAAGUGUAGUAUGCUUGUUUGACCCUGUGGAAAUGCAUCUAUGUUGACAGCAGCACUGGCAUCGGCAAAGCCCCGGUACACGAACAUCUCUUCUCCAGCUGGCCUGCUACCCUUUGUAGCUCCACUCAACCCAUCUUCCUUCUCUUUCAAGUACAGGCACAUCUCCUAGCAGCGGGACCUGUUUGGUCUGGGGAUGACUCCCUAAACUGUGACAUCCAUAUUCUUCUGAACAGCAGUAGUCACAGAAAUGUCAUUCAAAACAAUAUUGCACGAGAGCAUAGUUGUGGGUGCUUGGCUUAUGCCCUCCUCACACCAGCUUCAGUGCUCACCAAAGUGCUGCUAAAGCAUCUUUGGGUUUUUACAGCUGCCCUGUGCCAUUUUUCAACAGGAAGGCUGAUGCUGAGGAAGGUGGGAGGAGAUACAGCGGAGAAGAGUAAGUUGUAUCAGGGCAGAAGCAAAACUCAGAAGCAUCAAGACCAGAGCUCGCCAGCUCACCUCUAUAUCUGUGGUUUUACAAAACUGGCAGGGAAACUGCAGUUUGGGGAGCAAAGAUUUGCAGCAAAUCCAUCAAAUUCAAGGUAAGUGUGCCAGGACUGGAAAAGGGGAGAUAUAUUUCAGGAAGAGAGAAAACAAAGUACUCAGGGCCUCUGCAAACCCAUUAGUCUAGUCUUAAUAGAGUGUAAGGUUAAGAACAAAUUAUAAAAGGAAAACAAAAUUAACACUACAGCAGUAAGUGGAAAAUGGAAUCAAAUACAGGAUGGCUUUAUCAACAAAAGCAAUAUGUGUCCUUAACUUCUUUAUACCUCCUUUCCUUUACCUGGAUGAAAAAAAAAAGAACCAAUCUAUCUGGAUUUCAGUAGGGCAUUUGCUACAGUAUAGGGUGGAAGGCAGACAUGAGCUGAAAUGACAGGAGUGGUUAGGAGCAUUUUAGGUGGGUAAAACACUGGGGAAAAGGAGGUGAUGUGUUGAGUCAAAAGGGAACUGCCACCAUGGAGCAAUGUUACUGGCCUUGGGAAUAAUUCUGUUUGCAGUAGUGGCUCUAGCUCAGCAAAAAAAAGCAGCAAGAAAAAGAAGUUUGCUGAUUAAAUGCAUUUAGAGGAAUUACUCACAGACAGUGUGAGGCCAUGUUCUUUGCUCCUGCUAACAAGAAUUUUUCUUAUGUAGGGAGAUUCAGUGGUUAGAAAUGACAGAAGAAAAGACUGAUCUGUGUGCAUUCAUCACUCACGAGGUGAUUAUGAAGCACAGAUGUGACGUGGUCACAAAGACAACAGCCUUAAAAAGAUCAUUACAUGAAUCUUAUUGAGGAUGGUGUUUACAGUUUGUCAGAAGCAGGCUCAGAGCUGGCAGCAGUGCAGAGGAGCUGCAGUAAUAGAGUCUGCCUCUGUGCCUCCCCUGCCCUCCCUGUGAGGGGAUGUAGGGAAGUUGGCUUCUUCAGCUGGGCAGAGGGCUACUCCUUCCCCAGUUUUUCUUUCAAGGGUAAGAGAUCAGUCCCCAGCCUGAUAUUCUUCAUGCAGAAGAUUGCUUGGUGUCUAUCCCACAUGACACCCUUUCCCAGAAGCCCUCCGAGGAAGGAAGUUUAAACCCCAGGAUUUUAGAAAAGGCUCAGUUCCCUGGAGAGGUACAGAAAAGCCCCUCUGAACUCAGUGUGUGACAUGCCUGUACAGACAGAAGACACGACAGUUUAAUCUUUGGGUUUUCAGCAUCAGGAGAGUGGCUGAUGGUGUACACCUGGACAAGGUUAGUGCUGGACUAACACCUGGCUUGUGAGGAGGAAAUGAGCAGAGCUUGCUAUGGCUUGUUUCUGUCAGUGGUUUCUGAGGUCUGCUUAAUUUAAUUGAAGGAAAUGAAACUGGGGUGAGACCUCAGGCAAUGAUCUAAUUCAUCAUCCUGACCCAGGGACAAGAUUAAGUAAGCACAGCUCAUCCCUGACAGAUAUUUGUUGAACUUGAUCGCAACAGCCUCCAGUGACAAGACUCCCUUGGCCAAUCUAGUCCAGCAUUUUACAGCCUCAGAGUUAAAAAGCUUUUCCAACCAGGCAGCUCGAGUCUUCACCAACGAAAAUGAAUCUGCUGAUUUCAGAGGCCCCGUUAGAAAUGCCUUUUCACUCCAAUGGCACAGUGUUCUUGAACCAGCUGUAAACACUUUUUGGCAAUUUCAUUCAUCUUUUAGCAGUUCCAGAUAUAUUUCUUUCCCUAGUUUGUUUAUGAGAUUCAUGCCUUCCUCUCUAUCAGAAGUCUCAAAGUCAAAACCUAUCACAUCUACUGCAUCGCCCCAGUCCGCUAGGCGAGUCACCCUGUCAGAGAGUAAAGUUAGAUGGGCUUGAUGUGAUCUUCCUGAUGAAUUGACAUCAGAGAGUUCUUUUCAGGUUUGAAACAUACAUUGGAUAGGAAGCUAAUUCAUACGUACUGUUGCUGCCUGGAAGGCAUGAGAAAAAGGAUUAAGAGAGAGGCGUCUGGGGCUGUGGUAAUCUGAAGGGAAUGGAGGCAAAAGAAUAAAAUGCAGGAGUGAAAAACUGAAACGCAAUGGUGAGCAAGUGAAAUGCAGAAGUGAACAAGCAGUCUGCUAUUAAGAUUCUGGAGCUGCCAGUAGCCCCUCCAGUAAGCACCAAAAGCUCAGAGGGAUGGUCUGUAAAUGCUUUUACAGGCUGUAGUAUCAGUGAGGCAUCACAUCUAUACCAGGAGUGCCUCUGAAAUUCAUUGCAGACUCUGACACAGCAAGAGGCUUUCAGACCAGCACACUCGGGCUGCAUCACUCUGAGCGGCUACUCACGUUUCAGAUGCUCUCACACCUCUACCAUAGUCCAAAGCUUUCCUAAUGUCUGGAGCACAUCCCUUGGGCAGGGCUACCAAGUGUCAGGUAAGCAUUGUGUUCAAGGAAGUAGUUUUUCACAUGUGUUUACAACAACAUCUGGGAAAACUCAUCAGCUGCCUUGCUUCCUCUCAUUGUACCACGGACAGGUUUAUCUCCCAGGAUUAUUUCCUCCUUCUCCUCGUGAUGUAUUUCCCAAAAAGCUAAGCCCAGAAGCAGUAGUGUUACCCAGUCACAGCACAUCUUGCAAGCUUUCCAUUCUUUCUCAAUCCAUAUCACAUACCUGAAUGCUUAUUUGUCCUUAGCAGCCAAAGUGUGUGGUCACACGGUAGGAGAUUACAGGUCCCUACAGGAAGCAGGGCAAGCUGUCAUGUCCUUCUUGCCCAUACCAGCUCCAUCCCUUCACCUGGGACAGGAGAGACACCUUGCCCUCCUUGUAAGAAUCACAGAACCAUAGAAUAUCCCAGGUUGAAAGGGACCCACAAGGAUCAAUGAGUCGAACUCCGUGCUCCACACAGGAACACUCAAAAUCAAGCCCUACAUCUGAGAGUGUUGUCCAGAUGCUCCUUGAACUCCAGCAGCUUGGGGCUGUGCCCACCACCCUGGGCAGCCUGUUCCAGGACCCCAAUGCCCUCUGGUGCAGAACCUUUCCCCAACCCCUACCUGCCCCUCCUGUCACACAGCUCAAUGCGUUCCCUCCGGCCUUCACAGAGAGCAGAGCUCAGCGCUGCCCCUCCACUCCCCUCAUGAGGAGCUGCAGCCGCCAUGAGGCCUCCUCUCAGCUUCUCCAAGCUGAACAAACCAAGCAGCAGCCACCUCUAGAGUUUUUGUGGCAAAGUGCACAGCCCAGACACAGGGCAGAGCUGGGACCUGCAGCCACUCCCCUGUCACACCACUGCAGCUGUGGGGAUGGCACAUUGCAGGGACAGUUCCCAGUGAGUGCAUUCUGUUGUCCACAGAUUCUGCUGUCCACACCUAUGGCCAUGAUCUGUAAAUUUUGACAGAAAACACCACCCUUUUUACAUUUCAUACACUCUACCUUUACGUUCCUGACUCUUCACACUGCAGCCUGGUUUCUGGGUAGUUGUGCACCAGACAAACUGAGUACACUGCGGUUGGGAACUUGUUUCUGGGUGCUCUUGACAGACCCAAAAGCUGCGCUGACAGAUUAAUUCCUGUUGCUGUUUCUCAACAGGAGCACCUCUGGCUUUCCAGACAGAUUUAGAGAAUCCAAGAGUUACAGGUUUCUGCCCAGAGGAGUACAGGCCGCAGGGACACAUUUCCAUUUACCUGUACUGUUCCU